AGCUAACCUGCCCUAUGGACUAUGACAACCUCGGGAAACUGAGGCUAAACAUAGAUAGGAGAUUUAUUCUGGAAUGAUUUAUCUCCCAAAGGCAACACCAUAGGAUGGGGCUGCGGUUGAUUAGGUUGUUGGCGGGGUAAAUGCCCACCAAGCCGUUUAUCAAUAAGGGCUCUUAGCGGAGAAGCCCUGAGAGGGAGUCUGAGACACUACUCCCAGCCCUACGGGGUGCAGCAGUCGGGAAACUUUUGCAAUGCGCGCAAGCGUGACAAAGCAAGUCAGAGUGAUUUUUCUUUUGAAAAAUCUUUUUUGAGAUGCAAAAAGUCUCAAGAAUAAGGACUGGGCAAGACUGGUGCCAGCCGCCGCGGUAAUCCCAGCAGUCCAAGUCGCAGCCACAACUAUUGGGUCUAAAACAUUCGUAGCUUGUUAUGUAAGUCUAGUGUGAAAUCUGGCCCCUUAAGGGUCGGGCGUGCACAAGAUACUACAUAGCUAGGGACCGGGAGACGUAAGAAGUACACAUAGGGUAGCGGUAAAAUGCGUUGAUCCUAUGCGGACUAACAAUAGCGAAGGCAUCUUACGAGCACGGAUCUGACAGUGAGGAAUGAAGGCUAGGGGCGCAAAUUGGAUUAGAUACCCAAGUAGUCCUAGCAGUAAACCCUGCACACUAAACAUCGGGACCUCCUCGAGAGGUUCCGGUGCUGUAGGGAAGCCGGAGAGUGUGCUACCUGGGAAGUAUAGCCGCAAGGCCGAAACU
rnacentral:rRNA from 1 species